rnacentral:rRNA from 1 species
UACGUAGGUGGCAAGCGUUGUCCGGAUUUACUGGGCGUAAAGAGCGCGCAGGCGGUCGGAUAAGUCGAAUGUGAAAGCCCCCCGGCUCAACUGGGGAGGGUCACGCGAUACUGAUCGACUGGAAGGCAGGAGAGGGUAGUGGAAUUCCCCGGUGUAGUGGUGAAAUGCGUAGAUAUCGGGAGGAACACCAGUGGCGAAGGCGACUACCUGGCCUGUUCUUGACGCUGAGGCGCGAAAGCUAGGGGAGCAAACGGG